AAGGAUCAUUAGAAUGAGAGCCGGUCCGCGUGGUAAGGUCUGAAAAACCUCACGUGCCAGUAAGUGACCGUAAACCUCCACCCGUGCCUAUAUUACAACUGUUGCUUUGGUAGGCCGCGCACCGCAAGGUGAGAGCACCGGCUUCGGCUGGAGAGUGUCUGCCAGAGGACCCAAAUUCUGAAAUUUAGUGACGUCUGAGUACUACUUAAUAGUUAAAACUUUCAACAACGGAUCUCUUGGUUCUGGCAUCGAUGAAGAACGCAGCGAAAUGCGAUAAGUAAUGUGAAUUGCAGAAUUCAGUGAAUCAUCGAAUCUUUGAACGCACAUUGCGCCCUCUGGUAUUCCGGGGGGCAUGCCUGUUCGAGCGUCAUUAUGACCAAUCACGCAAGUGGUAUUGGGGCUUGCCAGCUUUCGGCAUCCCUUAAAGACAGUGGCGGUGCUAUAGGCUCUCAGCGUAGUAAUUAUUCCGCUCUUGAGUCCUGGACGUACUUGCCAAGACCCCAACUUUCUUAAGGUUGACCUCGGAUCAGGUAGGGAUACCCGCUGAACUUAA
rnacentral:rRNA from 1 species